CGUAACCCUCGAUUGCCCUACAACCAACAAUCCGCCAGAGAACUACAAGUGACAAACUUUAAACUCUAAGGACCUGGCGGUAUCCCACUCGUACUAGAGGAGCCUGUCCUGUAAUCGAUACUCCGCGCUGCACCUUACCCCCCCUUGCUACCCCAAUCUAUAUACCGCCGUCGCCAGCUCACAAUGUGAAUGUACCACCGUGAGCAAAAUUAUUAAACCAUAAAAACGACAGGUCAAGGUGUAGUUUACGGGGGGGGAGAGAUGGGCUACAUUUUCUCCACCAGAAAAUACCACCCGCACCGUGAAAUCUACGCUCACAGGCGGAUUUAGAAGUAAGCCUGGCAAGACGUGCCAACCUGAAAAAGCUCC
rnacentral:rRNA from 1 species